UCAAAUACGGCAACAGAUAAAUCACUCUUAUCAUACUAAAAGCGACGUUUGUGGGCAAAAUGAAGUCAUACAAGUCAACUCUAAGUCACCUGGAGUAUUGGAAGUGCUGGAGAGAAAAGUAAAGUUGUUCACUUUAUAAAACCACAUCAAGAAAAAAGUUCCAAUAUAGUAGUAAUAUCAUUCUAUUUUCCUCUGUAUAUUUAAUUUGACAAAAUGUCGAUAAGAAAUUCAUUUUUUGCUAGUGUUUUUCUAUUUGUUACAUUCAUAACAAGCUCUGUAGCCCAGAGUUCUACAACUUCUGAUCAAUGUGCCCCUUUUUCCUGCGGUGAUAAUCCAGUAAUACGUGUUGUUAUGCUGAUAAAAUAUCUUGUGGGAUUCUCAAUCUUGAUUGCAGUAGUGGUGUGGCAGUGCAAAAUACGUAAUUUGAAUACAUGGAAUGAUGGUUUGAAGAAUAGAAACGAACAAAACUGUUAAUUUUACUACUGUUUUUUUUAUAUAUAAUAAAAGAUUCAGUUGUUGCUUUUUCUUUCCCGUCAUAUCAAUUUCUAGAUUUAGCUUUGAUAUUACAUACAGCACAGUGAGCUAGAUGUUCUAAUUACCUAGCUCAACUCAUGUUCACUCUAAAUGAGUCACGUUUGUGGUAUAGUUACUUUAUCUCUAUAUUUCCUUGUUCAA